AGGAGGGCUCUGCAGCAUUAGGGAAGAAACAAACAGUCUCCUAGGCACCGUGAUGGACAGUCUGUGUGCAGAAAAAGAAGGUGGGUUUUCCAUCGCCCCCAAAAUGAUACAUCACUGCACGUUCCCCACGUACGUUACUUAUUUCAAGUGCGCUGGAAACCCGUUUGUUUGGUAGCAGGAGGAGAGGCAGCCAAAGUUACCGAGCCCGCUGCCAUCACUUCCUGCAAAGGGCCCGGCCUGGAGAGCGAGAGCCCGCAGCGCCAGAGGGAUUCCUGCACUUGAAGAUCGAGCGGUUCCUGCUAUUCCUCGCACAUAAUCUCGUGGCUCUUCUCUGAACCCUCUCCAAUUUAUCAACAUCCUUCUUGAAUUGUGGACACCAGAACUGGACACAGUAUUCCAACAGCAACCACACCAGUGCAAAAUACAGAGGUUUGGUCCUUUGCAGAACACCAGGGCAGGUCUGAUGUCAAGGGAAUGAAGUCUUCUCUUCAGCAGAAGCAUGGGGUUUCAGAAAAAGGACACAAAUCCAGGGCUACUAGAAGAUGGAGCAGAAACUCCGUCACCAACUUGACCUCUCAGCAGGAGCAACUUACCAGGAGCCAAUCGUUCAGAUAUGAGACAACUGUGUAACAUUAACAUUUCAUUUGGGCUGCCACCACAGAGAAAACUUUUGUAAACACUCUGGAUGCUAUUGCUAGCCAAAGAGAAGAACUCUGAACUGGAAUUGUUCUUGGCCCACCAUAAAUUGCAGGAACCUUCUGUGAGCGGGAUGAAUUUCUACAUGAAAGUAAAAAGCAACAGAGGGUCCUGUGGCACCUUUAAGACUAACAGAAGUAUUGGGAGCAUAAGCUUUCGUGGGUAAGAACCUCACUUCUUCAGAUGCAAACUGAAGAACGUGAAAGUAUGCAUCCUUCAUAUCGAGAGCCACAAAUUACAUUGGAUAAUCAAUGCUAAUGUAACCAUCCUGAAUUUCAACUUUCAAAUAAAGAU